UCUGGCUCAGGAUGAACGCUAGCUACAGGCUUAACACAUGCAAGUCGAGGGGCAGCAUGAUCGAAGCUGCUUGAUGAUGGCGACCGGCGCACGGGUGAGUAACGCGUAUCCAACCUUCCCUAUAGUAGAGAAUAGCCCGGCGAAAGUCGGAUUAAUGCUCUAUGUUGUAUUUAGAGGACAUCUGAAGAAUACCAAAGGUUUACCGCUAUAGGAUGGGGAUGCGUCUGAUUAGGUUGUUGGCGGGGUAACGGCCCACCAAGCCCACGAUCAGUAGGGGUUCUGAGAGGAAGGUCCCCCACAUUGGAACUGAGACACGGUCCAAACUCCUACGGGAGGCAGCAGUGAGGAAUAUUGGUCAAUGGACGAAAGUCUGAACCAGCCAAAAGUAGCGUGCAGGAUGACGGCCCUAUGGGUUGUAAACUGCUUUUAUACAGGGAUAAAGUAAGGGACGUGUCCCUUUUUGUAGGUACUGUAUGAAUAAGGACCGGCUAAUUCCGUGCCAGCCGCGGC
rnacentral:rRNA from 1 species